rfam:Camelus ferus unplaced genomic scaffold scaffold1389, whole genome shotgun sequence.
GAGGGCAUAGCUCAGUGGUAGAGUGCAUGCUUAGCAUGCACGAGGUCCUGGGUUCAAUCCCCAGUACCUCCA